rnacentral:rRNA from 1 species
UACGUAGGGUGCAAGCGUUAAUCGGAAUUACUGGGCGUAAAGCGUGCGCAGGCGGUUCGUUGUGUCGGCGGUGAAAGCCCCGGGCUUAACCUGGGAAUGGCCGUCGAAACUGGCGAACUGGAGUGUGGCAGAGGGGGGUGGAAUUCCACGUGUAGCAGUGAAAUGCGUAGAGAUGUGGAGGAACACCGAUGGCGAAGGCAGCCCCCUGGUUAACACUGACGCUCAGGCACGAAAGCGUGGGGAGCAAACAG